CGGCGAUGAUUACAAAUUAUCCGCGCUUCUGAGUUUGAUCAAUGAAGCAUAAUGGAUUAAAUGGUUGAAUUUCUUGAUAUGAGCCG
rfam:Phaseolus vulgaris cultivar G19833 chromosome 5, whole genome shotgun sequence.